rnacentral:lncRNA from 10 species
CAGACUUCCUAGGUAGCUCUGAAACAGGUGGUCUGUAGACCACACUUUAAGAAUUAUCUUCAAGGAUUGGGCUAGUUUUAGUUUGUAGUGAUUUCUUGUGUCUCUUAAUGAAGGCCUAGACAAUAUAGUCUGGAUUGAUUGGAUAAACACAGAGGAACAAGAGAGCGGCAGAAUUGUACCAUGCAUGCAGCAGGCCAUGCUCUACACGGGCCUCUCAGGAUGCAGCAGAGAGGUACCCUGGAUAUACAGGCUUUUUGGAAUACUGAUGUGAGUGUAGAGGCCAGAAAAAUGAAGCUAGGUGGUAUUGGAGGAGAAUCUCUGAAGACUGCUCUCAGUAGGCUGACAACAAGUUAAGAUGAAUGUGUAACUGUUUUCUACAUUCUUCUUACUGCUAUAAAAAUAAUUGAAAUGCAGAAUGCUUAACUUCAUUCAGCUGUAAGCCUUGUAAGAACA